rnacentral:rRNA from 1 species
AGAGAGAGACAUGCGCGCAUAUCAAUAAGCGGAGGAAAAGAAACUAACAAGGAUUCCCUUAGUAACGGCGAGUGAAGCGGGAAGAGCUCAAAUUUGAAAUCUUCAAGGUUUUACCUUGACGAAUUGUAGUUUAUAGAAGUGUUUUCUGUUAGUGGUUUGGUAAAAGUUCUUUGGAAUAGGACAUCAUAGAGGGUGAGAAUCCCGUAUUUGACCAUUACUUCCAGCGUUGUGAUACACUUUCAAAGAGUCGGAUUGUUUGGGAAUGCAGUCCAAAAUGGGUGGUAAAUUUCAUCUAAAGCUAAAUAUUGGCGAGAGACCGAUAGCGAACAAGUACCGUGAGGGAAAGAUGAAAAGAACUUUGAAAAGAGAGUUAAACAGUACGUGAAAUUGUCAAAAGGGAAGCGUUUGACACCAGUGUUGUUUUUCCGAAAAUCAAUUACGAAUGUUUUGUUUUUAAGGAGUUAUGACUUCAUCGGCUUGCUUCUUUCUUUAUGAAACUUUCUUAAUGCACUUUUCGGUUAACAAGUCAACAUCAAUUUCUUUUGUUGUAAAAGGGUAUGAGGAAGGUGGCUUUCUUUUCGGAGAAAGUGUUUAUAGCCUUGUGCCUCUGCAAUCGGAGAGAUUGAGGUCUGCAGCGUAGAUCCUUCGGGGUUAGAUACGUUUGUGCUAAGUUAUAGCUUUUCAUAGACAACUUGUUGACUAUGUUUAGUCUUGUAGCUUACUCGCUGACGCUAUUUUACCUACGCUUAGGAUGUUGAUAGUCACAGCGUGUAC